CAACGUGGGUAACCUGCCCAAGAGAUCGGGAUAACACCUGGAAACAGAUGCUAAUACCGGAUAACAACAGAUGAUGCCUAUCAACUGUUUAAAAGAUGGUUCUGCUAUCACUCUUGGAUGGACCUGCGGUGCAUUAGUUAGUUGGUAGGGUAACGGCCUACCAAGGCGAUGAUGCAUAGCCGAGUUGAGAGACUGAUCGGCCACAUUGGGACUGAGACACGGCCCAAACUCCUACCGGGAGGCAGCAGCC
rnacentral:rRNA from 1 species